GACGAACGCUGGCGGCGUGCUUAACACAUGCAAGUCGAACGGAAAGGCCCUGCUUUUGUUGGGUGCUCGAGUGGCGAACGGGUGAGUAACAAGUGAGUAACCUGCCCUUGACUUUGGGAUAACUUCAGGUAACUGGGGCUAUUACCGGAUAGUAGCUCCUGCUGCAUGGUGUGGGUUGGAAAGUUUCGGCGGUUGGGGAUGGACUCGCGGCUUAUCAGCUUGUUGGUGGGGUAGUGGCUUACCAGGGCUUUGACGGGUAGCCGGCCUGAGAGGGUGACCGGCCACAUGGGGACUGAGAAACGGCCCAGACUCCUAGGGGAGGAAGCAGUGGGGAAUAUGGCAAAAUGGGCGGAAGCCUGAUGCAGAAACGCCGCGUGCGGGAUGACGGCCUUCGGGUUGUAACCCGCUUUAGCAGGUGACGAAGCGUGAGUGACGGUAAUGGGUAAAGAAGCACCGGCUAACUACGUG
rnacentral:rRNA from 1 species